GAACGACCUCCUUCACUAUUUCCCCUGCUUCUGGCGUCCUGACCGCUGAGCUGCCCAGAGCCUGAGGUCUUCUAGAAAGCUGGAUUACAGAGGGCUCAGGUUCAUCAACUAGAAUCUCGGAUUACUUUUAAAGACAGCCCAGGCUGGGACCAUUUUAAUGAACAGACCUGGAAAGCUGAGGAAAUAUCCCAUGGAGAUUGGACUCAUCGCCUGUUGCUGCAUAGGACAGAUUUCUGGAGCUUAAGGCAUGGAAAUCGGGAAGCUUUUACUAUCUCAGGGGCUCCGUGGCCAAGGAGCAGGCUGGGUGUGGCUAUUUGUCUCUGAUUUAGGAUUAGCCCCAGGCUUCAGUCUCGGUUCUGGCCAGCACUGCAGUUCCUUGGAGACUCUCCUCGGGUCUGAUCUGCUUCCUUGAUUGCUAUAGCUUCUGCAAGCUCUCCAGACUAUACGUCAGGACCAAAGGAUGAAGAAUCUCCAUGAGAUCCAGGCAUCUCGUGAUGUGAUGUGGCAGUGUACUUGGUCUGAACCUUGGAAAGGGAGAAAAGCACCCCGAGAUGGCAACUGUGUGGCAGAACAGACAGGAACCCCAGUGCAGUGUGACGUGAAGAAGCUCCACACAGGGCUCACCCUGUGCACCUGGGCCCUUGCUCCCCUAUCUACACCCAUGGAGCAGGGAAGAGGCCGUGAGAAGGGACGAGCUGGGACACCUCCCUCAUAGCAGGAAUUCUGACCACCUGGCAGACAGCUGAACUCAGAGCAGGGAGCCUGAUCCCAAGGCAAAGACAUUGACCACACUGCAGGGACACUGACCGCACUGCAGGGACACUGACCGCACCAAACCCACUCUUUGUCAAAAAUAGGAAGAUAAGCCUUGGUUCUGGAGGAUCACUUCACUUUUCAGUCAGGGAAGUCCUUAUUUUACAAACGUAAGGAUCUGAACUCAGAUCCCCAGCAGCUGAGGGAAAAUCCAGGCAUUCCAGGGUGGGAAGAAACUUGCCUGACAGAACAUCCACCAACACAGGGUGUCCUGUCGCAGCAGAAAGGAGCCUGGGAAUCUGUGGGGACAGUUAGUGCCACCUGGACAUCUCUCCGCUCUGCAAGUGAGGUGACAGAGCCUUAUAGAGAAAAGUGAAGCAGUACAUGGAAACCGCCAUGCGCUGUCAUGCUUAGACCGUACAGGUGCCUAUUCGGAGGACUCCAUUGUGAGGAAGUCCUCCUCCUGUGGAAUGAGAGCAAAGGGCAACAGUGGCCAUCACAAAAGAACGGUCAUUAUCCCUGCAAGAACAACAGAGAGAAAUGAGGAGCCCAAGUUGGAAGGCCCGAAGACACAAACAAAUGUUGUAUGCUUUUUCCAGAUAAAUUUCCUGGUGUGUCUUAACAGCAUUCUGCUCCCAGCUUCCGUGAGUGAUGUGGACACAGCCCCCCAGUGGUUCUGACUGCCUGUGAGUCCUGUGCCUAGAGGCAGCUGCAUGAACCCAAGAACCCACAGGGGUGCUGUCAGCCACAAGCUGGCAGGCCCCUUUUCUGAGUGGCUCUUUCUCAACAUCUUAGUGCUCUGUAGCCUUAAACUGCGUGGUUGUAAAUGUACUGCCCUCCGUCACCAAGCAUGCUUAUGAACGGACUACUCAUCCGUGAACAUGCUUAUGCUCCCUAGAUAAAAUCCCCAUGCUCUUUUCAGAGGAGUACGUCCACUUUCAAAGGAUUCCCAGCAACUCUGUACCUGCUGCGGUAAAGUAUUAAAUCUUUCCCCACCUCUUUAUGUACUAUCAUCUGCUUGACUUGUCUUUGCACUCAUGGGCAGGAGAGCCCUUGGAGUUAAAUUAUAACACCUUCUAAACCAUCCGGGUAGCCACCAACAGUAUGCAUCAAUGGUUGAGUUCUCUGUUUGGUUAGAACUUGUGAUCUCAAAUGCAGCCUAAUUGAGCUGUGGCUCCUUUGGGGCCAACCAAGUCCUUUAAAGCCAAUGAGAUUGUCCAUGUGGACGUUCUCAAGUUCCUCAUGUUCACAUUAGCAGUGACCUGGGACGGGAGGCAGAGAAAUACUACCCUUCCCCCGGUGAUUCUGUUCAGAGGACAGGGCUCAGUGGGAGGAUACAUCCUUAAACCCUUUCAAAGUUGUCUGGAGAAGCUGUGUGGAAGAAGAGACAUGGGUGACCCUUUUGCUCCAUGAGAAGACAAGCAGAGACAAAGGAGAGAGUUUUUUAACAGUCAGACCCCCAUGCGAUGCUGCCCAAGGGGAUCCUUUUUCAAAAUCCCAGAUCUUAUCUAGAAGAGAGGCUAUAGUAACUCAUGUCUAGAGAGAAAUUGUUUUGUCCCCUCCACAGCUAGCCCCUGUCUUGCAGGCCCCUGUGAGGCUGGGUCAUGUUCCAGAGUACCCGGGAAACCAAGUGUCAAGACUCCACAGUAAGAGAAGCUAGAUGGCCCUCUGCAACCAGUGCUGGACAGCGCAGAUCAAGGAAGCCCUGGCUAGAGGUUGCAAGGUUUGGCCAAUAGGCUGUGAAAGAGGAAGAACAUUCCAGGCAAACGGACAGCCUGGUACAAAGUCCUGUGUUCCCCAGAUCCAAGGCCACAGCCUCUGCAGAGAACAGCAGGUUCGUUUCCAUUGGUGUCGGAGACUGUGUUGCCUAGCACAGUGGACCUCACCUGCACUCUGCUGGAUACACUGGGACAGCAGGUGUGACUCUGAUACCCAGUCCGAGUACCAGUCCACCGGGGCUCCGAGUGGCGGGGUGAGGAAGUACAGACAAGCCACGAGUGAGUGAGCAGGUUUGGGGGGAGGGUCAUUCCUCACCUAAUUCUCUGCUCUCGGGUAGCAAGCAAAGAUGCAUACAUACAGUUCAUGCCCCCCUGGGCUCCUCUGUCCUCUGCAAGUGGGGAGAAAGAUCCUUACAGAGAAAGGGAGAGAUAACUCAUGGAGUCUGCUGUCUGUCUUCAUACCUGAGAACUGCAAAUGACCCAAACCUAAAGAAGGCUCCAUCCUGAGGCUGUGGCCAUGGGCUGGGUGCCAUCCACUGAACAAGGGACCCUUCUCCCGGGGUCAGAACGAAGGGUAACAGCAGCCAUUGACAUAAGAGUGUCCGAUGACUUUUUUGCUUCUUUGUCAAAAAUCACGUGUUCAAAGAUGUGUGGAUUGUUAUCUGGAUCUUCUAUUUGGUUCCUCCUCUCUGUUCUUAUGCCAAUACCAGGCUGUUUUCAGUACUGUAACUCUGUAGUAAAGUUUGAAGUCAGGAAUUGUGAUGCUUCCAGAAGUUCUUUUAUUGUACAGGAUUGUUUUUGGCUAUUCUGGGUUUUUUUGCUUUUCCAUAUGAAGUUGAGUACCGUUCUUUCAAGGUCUGUGAAGAAUUUUGCUGGGAUUUUGAUGGGCAUUGCGUUGAAUCUGUAGGUUGC